rnacentral:rRNA from 1 species
ACGCUUCCGGGCGCCACCUCCGGUGCAAGUCCCCCUGACUGGGGCUCCUACCCCGAGAGGGUGCAAGGCCCGUAGCGGCCGGAAGGUGGUCCCGGAUGUCCUCUCCUGGGAGUCGGGUUGCUUGAGAGUGCAGCCCUAAUCAGGUGGUAAACUCCAUCUAAGGCUAAAUACGACCUCGAGACCGAUAGCGAACAAGUACCGUGAGGGAAAGUUGAAAAGGACUUUGAAGAGAGAGUUCAAGAGUACGUGAAACCGUUUGGAGGAAAACGAGUGGGCCCUCGAAUGAAGGAGGCGGGGGGACUCAGGCGAGAGAUGGGGUCUGUCGGUGCUGUCUCGCUUCCCAAACAGGACCUGACGUAUCGAUUUAUGACUUUAGCUUUCGCCGCAUUUCUUCUCGCCCUCUGACGCUGCGACCGGUCGGGUGCGCCACAAGCAGUCGGCCUUACUCGCGGAGACUGGCAGGUAGCCGGGGCAGUGCUUCGGCUCUGUUCCGGUGUUUAGCCGCUCCGCAAUCACGGCCGUUCACCCGACCGCAGGACAUGGCUCUUUGGGGCCGAUUCGUGCCUUCCCCUCGUGGGAGCGCUGGGUUGUCGGCAGGGAUGUCGCCGUUCUCGCCGGUUCACCGUAAGGUGGCCGGUGUGCGGUGGCGCCUGGUGGCCGGCGGUCUUUCGUGCGGGCGCAGAUGGUCAGCAGCGAGUAGGUCGGUCACCCACUCGACCCGUCUUGAAACACGGACCAAGGAGUUUAACAUGUACGCGAGUCAUUGGGUCUUGCAUAGGCCCAAAGGCGCAAUGAAAGUGAAGGUCGGCUCUCGCCGUCCGCGUUGGGAUUCGGGGCCUUAUGCUUCGGCGCACCAACGGCUCGUCCACGUCGCAACGUCGACCGGGCGAAGCUAGAGCGUACACGUUGAGACCCGAAAGAUGGUGAACUAUGGCUGGGCAGGACGAAGCC